UACGGAGGAUGCAAGCGUUGUUCGGAAUUACUGGGCGUAAAGCGCACGUAGGCGGCUUUGUAAGUUAGAGGUGAAAGCCUGGAGCUCAACUCCAGAACUGCCUUUAAGACUGCAUCGCUCGAAUCCAGGAGAGGUGAGUGGAAUUCCGAGUGUAGAGGUGAAAUUCGUAGAUAUUAGGAAGAACACCAGUGGCGAAGGCGGCUCACUGGACUGGUAUUGACGCUGAGGUGCGAAAGCGUGGGGAGCAAACAGG
rnacentral:rRNA from 1 species